GCCCUGAUCGCAUAGUGGUAUUGCACACGACCGGAGCUCGUGGCCCUUCGGGGCACCCAGGUUCGAUUCCUGGUCAGGGCGC
rnacentral:tRNA from 1 species